AGGAAUACUUUAUUUCUUUCUUCACUAAUCACAAUUAUACGUGAUUUCAUUCUUCUUCCCAGGCCAGAGCACCGAUACCGCACAUUAGAACCGCCUGAUUUUGCGCGAGAAACCACCCAAAAUUCCUUCGCCGGCUACCGUUUCCGGUACUCUGAAUUCACCUGCAGCCAAUAUUCCUCGCAGUCUAGUCGUCUUUGCCAACCUUUUAUCCCGACGACCGAAUUAUCGCAGUCUGCUACUCAACUUCGCAGUAUACUCUGUUCCAUUGCAGUCUACCACCACCGCGGUAUCGCCGAGGACCUAAUUAUCCGGAGCAAAGUAAAAAGAAUCGAGAAAGGUCAUUGAAAAAGAACACAAGCUAUCGAGGAGGCCGACGAGGAUACGUAUACUUUGAGGAAGAGAUUACAAAGGAACUUCAAAAGCAGGGGAUUCAUGUGACUCAGGUGCCUCGACAUUUAGUUUGGCUAAGAGCUCAUUCAACCGAAAAGGAAGGAGCGAUGAUGUUUGAGAAUCUCGCUGAUUUGGAAAUCGCAGAAGCAAUUUGUCCUCGUCAAUCCCAAGAAUCUCUGGAAUUUGGAUAUUAUAUAUGUCGAUAUAUGCUCGAGACUAUAGAGAAAAGGCGACAAGUGAUUCCUGAUAAGUACUUUGGCGGAGUUACAACUGAAUUUCCACAAAAUAAGCUUGACGAGUUGAGAGACUUAUGGAUCAAAUACGUGGAGGAAUAUAAACAAGCGGAAGAAGAGGAAUCUGAAGAAAGUGUCGAUUUUGAUUAAGUAUUAAGCGGGAUUAGAUAGGUAAUUAGUUAGAACAAUGAGUUGAUUAAUUUACUCUGCAUAUGAGUUGAAAGAAAUAAUGGCUGCUUUAGGUAUCUUUUGAUUAGUUGAUUUUUUGAAUCUUCAUAUAUCGAUAUUAUUUUGUAAUGAAUUAUGGUAUUGCAUCAAUGAAAUUUUUGUCAAGUUAUAUAAUAA